AUAGUCUCGUUGGUGACCAGCGGAGGGACAUUACCGAGUUUACAACUCCCAAACCCAAUGUGAACGUUACCAAACUGUUGCCUCGGCGGGAUCUCUGCCCCGGGUGCGUCGCAGCCCCGGACCAAGGCGCCCGCCGGAGGACCAACCAAAACUCUUAUUGUAUACCCCCUCGCGGGUUUUUUACUAUCUGAGCCAUCUCGGCGCCCCUCGUGGGCGUUUCGAAAAUGAAUCAAAACUUUCAACAACGGAUCUCUUGGUUCUGGCAUCGAUGAAGAACGCAGCGAAAUGCGAUAAGUAAUGUGAAUUGCAGAAUUCAGUGAAUCAUCGAAUCUUUGAACGCACAUUGCGCCCGCCAGUAUUCUGGCGGGCAUGCCUGUCCGAGCGUCAUUUCAACCCUCGAACCCCUCCGGGGGGUCGGCGUUGGGGAUCGGCCCUUUACGGGGCCGGCCCCGAAAUACAGUGGCGGUCUCGCCGCAGCCUCUCCUGCGCAGUAGUUUGCACACUCGCAUCGGGAGCGCGGCGCGUCCACAGCCGUUAAACACCCCAAACUUCUGAAAUGUUGACCUCGGAUCAGGUAGGAAUACCCGCUGAACUUAAGCAUAC
rnacentral:rRNA from 1 species